GUCAAGGUAGGCAGGAGAUACAGAGGAUAUGUUAGAGUCAGAGGAACAUGGAGACAUAGAAAGAGUUGUGGGGCCAAGGUAGGUUGGAGAUACAGAGGACAUGGCCGGGUCAAAGGAACAUGGAGACAUAGAACGGGUAGCGGGUCAAGGUAGGUUGGAGAUACAGAGGACAUGGCAGCGUCAGAGGAAAAUGGAGACAUAGAAAGGGUAGCAGGGUCAAGGUAGGCAGGAGAUACAGAGGAUAUGUUAGAGUCAGAGGAA